rnacentral:rRNA from 1 species
AACGAACGCUGGCGGCAGGCCUAACACAUGCAAGUCGAGCGCCCUUUCGGGGGAGCGGCGGACGGGUGAGUAACGCGUGGGAAUAUGCCCUUCUCUACGGAAUAGCCUCGGGAAACUGAGAGUAAUACCGUAUACGCCCUGUGGGGGAAAGAUUUAUCGGGGAAGGAUUAGCGCGCGUUGGAUUAGGUAGUUGGUGGGGUAAUGGCCUACCAAGCCGACGAUCCAUAGCUGGUAUGAGAGGAUGAUCAGCCACACUGGGACUGAGACACGGCCCAGACUCCUACGGGAGGCAGCAGUGGGGAAUCUUAGACAAUGGGGGCAACCCUGAUCUAGCCAUGCCGCGUGAGUGAUGAAGGCCUUAGGGUUGUAAAGCUCUUUCAGCUGGGAAGAUAAUGACGGUACCAGCAGAAGAAGCCCCGGCUAACUCCGUG